rnacentral:rRNA from 1 species
UACGUAGGUGGCAAGCGUUAUCCGGAUUUAUUGGGCGUAAAGCGAGCGCAGGCGGUUGCUUAGGUCUGAUGUGAAAGCCUUCGGCUUAACCGAAGAAGUGCAUCGGAAACCGGGCGACUUGAGUGCAGGAGAGGCAAGUGGAAUUCCUAGUGUAGCGGUGAAAUGCGUAGAUAUUAGGAGGAACACCAGUGGCGAAGGCGGCUCUCUGGUCUGCAACUGACGCUGAGGCUCGAAAGCAUGGGUAGCGAACAGG